UGGGGCAGACCCUGGGCUAGCAGGCCUCAGGGAGAACUCCAAUGGCGUCUGUGUCAGCACGCCCACACCCGGCCACAACAAUGGCCGCCACCAAUGUCCCAGUCCCUGGAGAGGUCUCACCUCUCACUGAGAUCCACUCAGGGCCUAUUAGUGCGUCCAGUCUCAGCAGUUUGUGACAUCACUGCCUGGUGAGUAGACAAGCCAACUGAGAGGACCGCAGCAAAGCCACACAGUCAAAAGGCUCUGGAAUUUGCAGACCCUAAAUAUGACGAGAUCAGGGAGGAUGGCCAUGGAGCAGUGAGAAUGAUGAGCAGGCACCACCCCCAUAACCACAUCAGGAAAAUCCACCUGCAGGACCAGAAGAGCCACAGGGCACAUUCAAGCCUGCUGUGCCUCCACUUGCUCUAUCAGUUUUACAAACUGUGUUUUGCCUCUUCUCCAGCAUCAAGCAAAUGAAACUGAACUCUAGAACAUGUAAUUUCCAUAAUCCACAAUUCAUGCCUUCACAAAAAUUCAUAUUUUAAAUUUGAAAAUUGAUGAUCACGCUUCUUGGUUAAAAUGUCACGCAAUUUGGAUAUACAGGAACAGAUUUUUGUUCUGAAUUUACAAGAAAAAAAUGAAAAAAUUGUCUUUACAACAUAUUCAAUUUUAAA